AAAAGAAACCAACAGGGAUUGCCUCAGUAACUGCGAGUGAAGCGGCAAAAGCUCAAAUUUGAAAUCUGGCCCGUCUCCGGCGGCCCGAGUUGUAAUUUGGAGGGGCAUCUUCAGGGGUGGGCGCCGUCCUAAGUUCCUUGGAACAGGACGUCACAGAGGGUGAGAAUCCCGUGCCUGGGCGGCUGUCCCGCUCCAUGUGAAGUGUCUCCGACGAGUCGAGUUGUUUGGGAAUGCAGCUCAAAAUGGGUGGUAAAUUUCAUCUAAAGCUAAAUAUUGGCGAGAGACCGAUAGCGCACAAGUAGAGUGAUCGAAAGAUGAAAAGCACUUUGAAAAGAGAGUUAAAAAGUACGUGAAAUUGUUGAAAGGGAAGCGCUUGAGAUCAGACUCGUCGGACGGCAACCAUCGGUGCUUCUGUGCCGUGCACUUGCCGACCGACGGGCCAGCAUCGGUUCUGGCGGCGGGAAAAAGGCUCGGGCAAUGUGGCUCUCUUCGGGGAGUGUUAUAGGCCCGGGUGUCAUACCGCCUGGUGGGACCGAGGACCGCGCUUCGGCUAGGAUGCUGGCGUAAUGGUCUUAAGCGACCCGUCUUGAAACACGGACCAAGGAGUCUAACAUCUAUGCGAGUGUUCGGGUGGAAAACCCCUGCGCGUAAUGAAAGUGAACGGAGGUGGGAACCCCUCGGGGUGCACCAUCGACCGAUCCUGAUGUCUUCGGAAGGAUUUGAGUAGGAGCAUAGCUGUUGGGACCCGAAAGAUGGUGAACUAUGCCUGAAUAGGGUGAAGCCAGAGGAAACUCUGGUGGAGGCUCGCAGCGGUUCUGACGUGCAAAUCGAUCGUCAAAUUUGGGUAUAGGGGCGAAAGACUAAU
rnacentral:rRNA from 1 species